GCCAGCCGCAUUCUGGUUCUGUACUUCUGUACUCUGGUUCUAUACGGGGUCUCCAUACUACCCCAGCCUUAUAUCCUCAAGUGGUACGCAUCUCUCCCUGUCAGCCUUAUCUCUCGCUUCCUGUCCACAGCAAGCCGCGCCCCAGCCCGUGGCCAUCGGCCUCUUCUUCGCCGCAUGCUCUCCUUGCUCGAGCUCGCCCACUUCCUGGUGCAUCUUCCUCCUCGCCUCCCAUCUCAGGACCAGGCUGCUCGGCCACGCCCAGCAGCUCCUUGAACGCGCGCCCCUCCGAGCAUCUUGUCCCUUUGUUGGUCGCCAUCUUUCCCAGCUCCCCAGCGCAGGUGGCUGUGCGUUCCCCUUGGCCGGCGUCCUCCCCAUUUUUCUAUAGUUGAGCUUAUCUCUUGCUGUUGAUUGCGUGGUGCAUACGAGCAUGAGUGGGUGUAAUAUAUGCGUAUAUAUGUGUAAGAUUGGAGCUGUGAUUGGAGAAGCGGAUGAGGUUCUUGUGCGACGCUUCCUAUGUGUUUGAUGAAAUGGACAAAUCAAGGUUUGUUAUGGUUGCUGUGAAGUUUUGGGUUGAAUAAAAGUUUUGGUUCGUUACACGUGAUGCGAAGGACAAGAGCCGAGUUGAUCUCAAAAUGAUGAUGGUGAACGAACCUAAGGAUGGAUGAUCUGAUAGAGUGCCAGAAUGGGAGAUGCUCACCAAGUGGUCGUCAUCUAACCGCACUAAUCUAGUGUUAUCCCAGGCAAGCCCUGGUGCAUUUGCCACCUCCUUGCUGUUUUUAAACUUUUAUCACUUAUAUGUUGCAUUAGGUGGUAGGAGUUGAAUGGUUAAACCUUUGUUGCAUAACUUCGUUGAACUAUUGAUUA